GGGGCGACUACCUUUGAAUAAGAAACGAAGGCGAGCUUAUGGUAUUAGUUAAUCUCAUUAGCCUGACAGUGAGGGGGACACCUCUAGCUGGCACAAGGACAACGU
rnacentral:rRNA from 1 species